rnacentral:sRNA from 1 species
ACAAAUAAUACUUGUAAAAAAGUAAUGAAUAAUGAAUGCUUAUUUACAUAAAUUGCUGGUUAGUUUUUGUUAGUGGUAAAAUUGUGUAUAAAUAUUUCCACCAACGGUUGAGGAGUUUUCCGUAGAAUAACAGCAGAGCUUCUCAUACCAUAUUUUUAUAUUCAAUAACCUAACACCUUUUAUAUUGGGAAUGUUUUAAAAAUUUAUCCAUACCGAUUUAGUUUUUAUUAGCCAUCCUUCUUUUAUUUUACAUAUGUACAUUAGACUUUCCCCAGCUAUAUGCCGAAUUUUUUGCAAAUAGAGAAAUUCAUAGCGCAUAAUGUUUGUCUUUUCGAUAACAGUAAGCAAAAUAAGAAAUAAUAUGGUGAUUGGUUGAAGAUAACCCGUGCCGACAGGACGCACAGUGGCGAAUUUUACCUCAAAAGUGUCGUUUAAAUCAACGGGCAGGCCGAUCUUCAUAAAAUUUGGUAUACCAAACUCAGACAUGGCUUGAAAUACCUUUGAACGUAAAGGGGUAUCGAAGGCGGCUUUGUAGUCAACAAAGAGAUGGCAGGUGUGGAUUUGUCCUUGUCCUUUGUCCAUGGAUUUUGCCAUGUCGAAAAAAUAUCGCUUGUCAAAUUUUAGACAAAAUGGAACAUAAAUGAACUAUAUGAACUAUAUUCGCAUUUUAUAGGCUUAAAAUGUUUUAUCUGGAAAUCGAUCUAUAUGGUAGCUAUAUCCAAAUAUGAAUUGGGAUGAGUAAAUUAUAAUUUUUUUUUUCAAAAUUACAGCAAAAUUGCUCAUUACCAUACAUCUUUUAGGAGCUGAAGGUUUGAAA